rnacentral:rRNA from 1 species
AGAGAUGCAUUGGGUUUAAAGUGUGCGCAGGCGGUUUUGUAAGACAGAGGUGAAAUCCCCGGGCUCAACCUGGGAACUGCCUUUGUGACUGCAAGGCUGGAGUGCGGCAGAGGGGGAUGGAAUUCCGCGUGUAGCAGUGAAAUGCGUAGAUAUGCGGAGGAACACCGAUGGCGAAGGCAAUCCCCUGGGCCUGCACUGACGCUCAUGCACGAAAGCGUGGGGAGUAAACA